UUUCCCCAAUGGGCGCAAGCCUGAGGGAGCAACGCCGCGUGGAGGAUGACGGCUUUCGGGUUGUAAACUCCUUUUGGGGGGGACGAUAGUGACGGUACCCCCCGAAUAAGCCCCGGCCAACUCUGUGCCAGCAGCCGCGGUAAGACAGAGGGGGCAAGCGUUGUCCGGACUGACUGGGCGUAAAGCGCGCGCAGGCGGUCUGAGGCGUCGGUGCUGAAAGUCCACCGCUUAACGGUGGGAAGCGCGCCGAUACGCUCAGACUGGAGGGCGGGCGAGGGUGGUGGAAUUGCCGGUGUAGUGGUGAAAUGCGUAGAGAUCGGCAGGAACACCAGUGGCGAAGGCGGCCACCUAGCCCGCACCUGACGCUGAGGCGCGACAGCGUGGGGAGCGAAC
rnacentral:rRNA from 1 species